GGCGGCCUUAGCGCGGUGGUUCCCACCUUGACCCCAUUGCCGAACUCAGAAGUGAAACGCCGUAGCGCCGAUGGUAGUGUGGGGUCUCCCCAUGCGAGAGUAGGGAACUGCCAGGC
rnacentral:rRNA from 1 species